UCCAUUGUUUAGUUGGUAAAGCACAAAGCUCUUAACCUUGUGGACGUGGGUUCAAGCCCUGCGGUGGAA
rfam:Triticum urartu cultivar G1812 contig1219026, whole genome shotgun sequence.